GGGCGUAUAGAUCAGUUGGUUAGAUCGUCUGCUCGACACGCAGGAGGUCGCAGGUUCGAAUCCUGUUGCGCCCACCA
rnacentral:tRNA from 1 species